rnacentral:rRNA from 1 species
GUCUAUGGCCAUGCCACCCUGAACAUUCCCAAUCUUGCCUGAUCUCAGAAGCUAAGCAGGGUCGGGCCUGGUUAGUACUUGGAUAGUAGACCACCUGGGAAUACCAAGUGCUGUAGGAG